CCUUCUUUUAGAGCAGCGGUUCUCAGCCUGUGGGUUGAGAACCGCUGCCUUAUACCAUUUCAGACAAAUGGCUGUCCAGUCUCUUCUUCAAAACCUCCAGUAUUGGAGCAGCCACAACUUCUAGAGGCAAGCUCUUCCUUCCAUCCGUCCGUCUAUCAUGUAUCUUAUUUAUCUAUCUCAGAAUCAUAGAAUCACAGGGCUGGAAGGGACCUUGGAGGUCAUCUAGUCCAACCCCCUGCUCAAGCAGGAGACCCUCUACCAUUCCAGACAACUGGCUGUCCAGCCUCUUCUUAAAAACCUCCAGUGAUGGAGCCCCCGCAACGUCCGAAGUUGUGGUUAACUAAAUUUUUUAAUUAAGUGGGAAAAUGUGGGUCCCAGAGACCCCGAAUGCUAAUGGAUUAACCCUUGAGAAGGCAGAGUUCAUCUUUCUGAGCAUCGCAGGUGAACAAGUUGCACUGACAACUAUGUCGCAACCACGACACUGAGCGUGCGAGCAUGGCUAAUUCCCCCCCCCCAAAAGAGCUUCCUUCUUUUAUCCACUUCAAAGAGGGAAUCGUGAAUGCAAUCCCUGCUCUUUUCAAAAAGUUCCACCGACACACACACACACACACACACAAAAACCCUUUGUCCAAUUCACACAGGGACCUUCCGUAGACAAACAACUUUUUGUGCACAAGCGGUUGCUAAGCAAAGCAAUUCGCUCCCGGCAUCAGUCUGGUUGAUGAAGAGGCCCUAAAUUUAGGAUGCUCACAUGCCACUCCUGUUUUCGCUUUGCGGUUUCUCUCCAAAGUAACCGAAUCUUCCCUACUGUCAACCUGAAUACAGCGACUCCUCAACUUACAACAGUUCAUUUACUGACCGUUCGAAGUUGCAACGGCCCUGAAAAAAAAGGGACUUGCAAAGUUACCAAGGGCAUUGGAAAAAAAAAAGGGGGGGGGAAUUUUCCCCACAUUUAACAACCGUUGCGGCAUCUCCAUAGUUACGUGAUCAAAAUCCCGAUGCUUGUCAACAGACUCCUAUUUAUGACGGCUGCAGUGUCCCCGGCGGAUCACGGGAUCCCCUUUUCGGGUGACCUUUUGACGAGCAAAGUCCACGGGGAAGCCAGAUUCCCUUCACAAUUGUGUUACUAAUUUAACACCUGCAAUGAUUAAAUUUAACAACGGGGGAAGAAAGGUCGUAAAACGGACAAAAUUCACUUGGCAAGUGUCUCGUUUAACAACAGAGAGGUCAGGCUCAAUUGUGGUCGUUAAGCUGAGGACUACCUGUAGGUUAAUAACAGUCUACGCCAGGGGUCUUUAAACGUGGCCCGUUUAUGAUUUGGGGACUUCAACUCCCAGAAUUCCUCAGCCAGGCACGCUGGCUGGGGAAUUCUGGGAGUUGAAGUCCAAGCUGCCAAGGUUUGGAAAACCCAGGUCUAAGCUGACCUUCCUUCCAGAUGUUCGCUCAAUAUUUCAUGUCAUCCCGUUUUUAAGCUUUUUCUGCUUUGCCAGGGAUUUUCCCAAACCAGAUUUGCAGCUAUAAAAAGCUGUCUUCAUAUUCGGCAGCCUUUUAAUAAAGACUUAAUUAAGACCUAAAAAAAAAAAAACCAGAAUAACCUCCGUGGGGAAGAUUAGAGAAGCACCUGUCCAGAAUUUCUGCAGGCAUUGCUAUAAGAAACAAAGAAACAAACAAAAACAAAACAAAACCUGGCAAUUUGGCAGCUUAAAAGAAAUUAAUUUGGUCUUGAGUCAUGGAAAAAAAAAAAAAAAACAAGUGAAAAGAUUCCUUAAGAAGCGUUUCGGCCGCUACAGGGACUUCUCGAGUUCGUUUAGUGACGGUUCGAAGUCACGGGGGAAGCCAGAUUCACUUAACACCCAGGUUACUAAGUUAUCAACUAGAGUGAUUCAUUUAACAACUGCGGCAAGAAAGAUCGUCAAACGGGGGCAAAACUCACUUAAUAAAUGUCUCGCUUAGCAACCUAAAUUUUGUGCUCCGUUGCGGUCCUAAGGCGAGGACUACCUGUAUUCAAAUCUCUGCCUAGUCAGUGGGAAUUUUACUGGAGGUAAAUCUGCACUGCAGGAUUUCCAGAUCUGCUUAAAUAUCCUCGAUCACCGCUACCAUCACGCACAAUGGCAUUAUCUGAGGACGAUGGGAGAAAUCUAGGCGGGAAGCGUGGCGUGCAGACGCUUGAAAUAAACAAUUAAUAAAAUAAACGCAGCCAGUAAAGACAUUUUCAUGCUGGGAUCAAUCCUCUUUUGUUUAUAGUUUUUUUUUUUUCUCACGCCAAUUUGGGGCUGGAACCAUCUCUGCUAUGUAGCAGAUGUGCAAGAAGCGCUCGCAAAAGCCGUCUGUAUAUAUUUAUACGUAUUUUAUUUUAAAUGGAGAAAUAAACUUUUUCCAGCCGGCUGGUUAGAAAGCUAACCAGGCCGACUAUAAUUACGCCCAGUGCCUCAUUUAGCCAGAAACAGGUGGAGGCCAAAUCGGAGGAUUGUUUUUAAGGGGUGGAAAAAAAAAAUGCGCCACCCUGUCGCACAGUUGUGGUUUUGGGAUUCGAGACAUUGCUCGAAAAAUGUCUGGGACCCCAAAUUCUGCCUUUUUCCUGGGGUGGGAAGCCCUUCUUACCGAGUCUUCCAGCCCUAGAGAAAUUUUAUCGGCUUCCGUUUGAGGAUCGUGGGGGAGAAUCAAGAGUUUUGGUGCAAAAUUGGCAGUGGGUUUUCCUACCGAGAUUGAACAGGUUAUAAAAUAACUUCCCUGCUGGCUAUGCCAGCUGCAGGGUUCCCAGCCUUGAAUGUGAACACUUUUAAGAGAAAUGCGUGUUCUGUCUUAAAAUUGGCUUUUUCUUUCUUUUUCUU